rnacentral:rRNA from 1 species
GGUGAUGAAAGCGGUGGGGUUCCACCUCUUCCCAUUCCGAACAGAGAAGUUAAGCCCACCAGCGCCGAUGGUACUGCGUGAAGCGGGAGAGUAGGUCAUCGCC